GGUCCAGAUUCUUAGGGAGGCAGCAGUGGGGAAUAUGCACAAUGGGCGCAAGCCUGAUGCAGCCAUGCCGCGUGUAUGAAGAAGGCCUUCGGGUUGUAAAGUACUUUCAGCGGGGAGGAAGGUGUUGAGGUUAAUAACCUCAGCAAUUGACGUUACCCGCAGAAGAAGCACCGGCUAACUCUGUGCCAGCAGGCCGCGGUAAUACGGAGGGUGCAAGCGUUAAUCGGAAUUACUGGGCGUAAAGCGCACGCAGGCGGUCUGUCAAGUCGGAUGUGAAAUCCCCGGGCUCAACCUGGGAACUGCAUUCGAAACUGGCAGGCUAGAGUCUUGUAGAGGGGGGUAGAAUUCCAGGUGUAGCGGUGAAAUGCGUAGAGAUCUGGAGGAAUACCGGUGGCGAAGGCGGCCCCCUGGACAAAGACUGACGCUCAGGUGCGAAAGCGUGGGGAGCAAACAGGAUUAGAUACCCUGGUAGUCCACGCCGUAAACGAUGUCGACUUGGAGGUUGUGCCCUUGAGGCGUGGCUUCCGGAGCUAACGCGUUAAGUCGACCGCCUGGGGAGUACGGCCGCAAGGUUAAAACUCAAAUGAAUUGACGGGGGCCCGCACAAGCGGUGGAGCAUGUGGUUUAAUUCGAUGCAACGCGAAGAACCUUACCUACUCUUGACAUCCAGAGAACUUUCCAGAGAUGGAUUGGUGCCUUCGGGAACUCUGAGACAGGUGCUGCAUGGCUGUCGUCAGCUCGUGUUGUGAAAUGUUGGGUUAAGUCCCGCAACGAGCGCAACCCUUAUCCUUUGUUGCCAGCGGUUCGGCCGGGAACUCAAAGGAGACUGCCAGUGAUAAACUGGAGGAAGGUGGGGAUGACGUCAAGUCAUCAUGGCCCUUACGAGUAGGGCUACACACGUGCUACAAUGGCGCAUACAAAGAGAAGCGACCUCGCGAGAGCAAGCGGACCUCAUAAAGUGCGUCGUAGUCCGGAUUGGAGUCUGCAACUCGACUCCAUGAAGUCGGAAUCGCUAGUAAUCGUAGAUCAGAAUGCUACGGUGAAUACGUUCCCGGGCCUUGUACACACCGCCCGUCACACCAUGGGAGUGGGUUGCAAAAGAAGUAGGUAGCUUAACCUUCGGGAGGGCGCUUACCACUU
rnacentral:rRNA from 1 species